rnacentral:rRNA from 1 species
AGACAUCAGUAGCCGCGGUAAUACAGAGGGUGCGAGCGUUAAUCGGAUUUACUGGGCGUAAAGCGUGCGUAGGCGGCUUCUUAAGUCGGAUGUGAAAUCCCUGAGCUUAACUUAGGAAUUGCAUUCGAUACUGGGAAGCUAGAGUAUGGGAGAGGAUGGUAGAAUUCCAGGUGUAGCGGUGAAAUGCGUAGAGAUCUGGAGGAAUACCGAUGGCGAAGGCAGCCAUCUGGCCUAAUACUGACGCUGAGGUACGAAAGCAUGGGGAGCAAACAGGAUUAGAUACCCGUGUAGUCCCUGUCUCUUAUAC